rnacentral:rRNA from 1 species
CGCGUAGGCGGUUUGAUAAGUGGGAUGUGAAAGCCCUGGGCUCAACCUGGGAACUGCAUUCCAAACUGUCAGGCUAGAGUAUGGUAGAGGGAGGUAGAAUUUCCUGUGUAGCGGUGAAAUGCGUAGAUAUAGGAAGGAAUACCGGUGGCGAAGGCGGCCUCCUGGACCAAUACUGACGCUGAGGUGCGAAAGCGUGGGGAGCAAACA